rnacentral:rRNA from 1 species
GAGUUUGAUCCUGGCUCAGAUUGAACGCUGGCGGCAUGCCUUACACAUGCAAGUCGAACGGCAGCAUGAUCUAGCUUGCUAGAUUGAUGGCGAGUGGCGAACGGGUGAGUAAUACAUCGGAACGUGCCCUGUAGUGGGGAGUAACUAGUCGAAGAUUAGCUAAUACCGCAUACGACCUGAGGGUGGAAAGUAGGGGGACCGGCAAGGCCUCAUGCUAUAGGAGCGGCCGAUGUCUGAUUAGCUAGUUGGU